rnacentral:rRNA from 1 species
UAGGGAAUCUUCCGCAAUGGGCGAAAGCCUGACGGAGCAACGCCGCGUGAGUGAUGAAGGUCUUCGGAUCGUAAAACUCUGUUAUUAGGGAAGAACAAAUGUGUAAGUAACUAUGCACGUCUAGACGGUACCUAAUCAGAAAGCCACGGCUAACUACGUGCCAGCAGCCGCGGUAAUACGUAGGUGGCAAGCGUUAUCCGGAAUUAUUGGGCGUAAAGCGCGCGUAGGCGGUUUUUUAAGUCUGAUGUGAAAGCCCACGGCUCAACCGUGGAGGGUCAUUGGAAACUGGAAAACUUGAGUGCAGAAGAGGAAAGUGGAAUUCCAUGUGUAGCGGUGAAAUGCGCAGAGAUAUGGAGGAACACCAGUGGCGAAGGCGACUUUCUGGUCUGUAACUGACGCUGAUGUGCGAAAGCGUGGGGAUCAAACAGG